GGCCGGUAGCUCAGUGGUGAGAGCGGCGGGCUUAUAUCCCGUGGCAGCCGCGAGUUCAAGUCCCGGCCGGCCUA
rnacentral:tRNA from 1 species